rnacentral:lncRNA from 1 species
CAUUUUUUUUCUUUCCCCAACCCCCCAAUACCUGUAAUCAGCUCCUUUCUUCCUUCCUCUUUUAAACCAUGCAUUAUAACUUUGAAACCAAAGCUGCCCUAGAUCCUUCUCUGAUGUUUUUGGAGGGAACUUUGUUACAUUUGCUCUGCCUCUGAAGCAGAGGGGCAAGAUGCUGUUUGGAGUGCGGAAGUGGGAUUCAGCACAGGGAUAAAGUAAUUUAUGCCGGUGUUUGGCUGGAAAAGCCCCACUGACUGGAUAGAGUCCCUGAUGCACAGUGGAAGAGCAACUUUAGGACAUAGAAGGCUGAAGAGGAAAAAAAUCUAGAACCCUCGAAGGGCAAACAGCUGGAGAAAGGCUGGGCUUGACUGGGAAGUUGACGUGGACAGGCUGAGAGGGCGCUGCCUACGAGCUGUUGGCACUCCGGCAAUAACUUGGGGCGGAGCCCUCUUUCCUGGCACCUCCUCUCCAGAGCCGGGACUACAUUUUGGCCCUCGCCACGUGAUUCUCCGCCCUUUUCUGAGGUCACAUGAUUUUGUUUGCAACACUCCGGGAUGUGUUCCUCCGCCCUGAUAUAGUCCCUAUCUUUGGGAUUUUUGCAGUUUCUAUUGGUCCGCCUGAGUCUUGAGCCUUCGCUGUGUCUGCAAACCUCUUUCUUCUCCGUCUUAUGGUAUCCUUAUUCACACCUUGGGUACUACUUUGUUUUGGUGUCAACGGCCACCUUCAGCGUAGCAACACGUUUCAUGAAUAUCUAGACUUGUAAUUGCCUUUCCCUAACGUAAUUUCCGAAAAUAACUGCAGAACUAAAUCUCACGACUGCCACUUA